CAUACGCAUGCUUUAAUUACUGACGGGGGACCAAAUGAAACACACCUUUCCCUCUCUGGGUUUGAGUGUUGCUGUAAACAUUUGGGAUAAUGGAGCAGCCUCUGUUGAGUCUAUAUUUGGCACCUGCUGCAAUGCCUGGUACUUAUAGGGCACUGGACCGGGGCGGGACAGAAGGCACCAGGCGGGCGGAGGAGGGGUGGAGACUCUUGUGUGUGGUCUGGAUUGGGUGGCCAUCCGCCGGUGAAGUCAGGCGAAGCAGAGUGAUCAAAUUUUCCAGAUUACCACACACACUGGGGUCCCGAUACAAUCUCUGAUCUCCGUCUCUGUGCUUUGCUUCUGGUCUUUCAAACCCAAACACAGUGAAUAAGUGCAGAUAUGAAUAUUGGACUGAUUGAUUAGUUAAUUGAUUUCAAUUGAG